UACUGAUGCAUUUUCACUGCAUUCAGUAUAUCUAAAAAUGUACUGUAUGUAUAUUUGCUUUGAAAUUGUUUAAAAAGGGUUUAUUUUAACCAAACAAUUGCCAACAGAUUGAAAAUAUUUAACAUUGGAACUAAAUUUGAGCUCAAAGUAAAUACAUUAAUGCACUAGUCAAUUUACAUUAUUACAUUAUUAUAAUUAUUAUUAUAUGCUACAAAAUAAUAUUGUAAAAUAUGUACAAAUUCAUAUUCACAACAAAGUUGCUUGGUUUUAUAUACCACUAACACAUCCUUGGGAAUAUUGUAAGUAUUAAAUAUAUUAAAUAUAUAACCAGCUCUGGUUAAGAGUGUAUUAUUAGAACAUGACCUGUUUUGUUUUCAAUAGCCCUAUGUUGUGUAAGAGUUGGCACUCUUUCUUCAAGUUUGUUGGGAUUUUCCUGUGUCCUCUAAACACAUCAUUGUAAAGUGCACACAUCCUGUAACUUACAGAGGCGGAGGAGAAAGAGAGAGAGAGUCAGCCGCACACCACCACCGCCCCAUCAGCCAAGACUUCCUCAUAAAUCUCUUUCCGUCCUGAGAAACCAGAACCUCAAGUGCAAUUCCACACCACAUUCCUCAGCCGUCCCAUUGCACACUCAUCACUCUUUAACCAAAUGAGUGCAAAUGAAAAUGUAUUUGUGAUCUCUGACAGGUCUGACACUUAGCUCCGCUGACACAGAGCUGUGCGAAACUCGAAAGGAAAAACAGUGGCUCACAGAAAUAGCAGGUCAAAAGAACAGAUGAAGUUGCGUUUUCAGCACCCAAAGAUGAGGGUAUUUUUACUGCAGAAAAGUAUAGCCUUCUGUGCAUCCUGUGUUUGUGAGUCAGCUUGAGGGAGACUUCCUGUCCUGACCUCUGCUCUGCACCGGGCCCAUGUUAGCAGUGCUGAGUGUGGAAUGUCAUCCACCUGACCGCAUGUGCUUCUUCACUGCUUGCGCAAACUCCUCUGAGAUGCUUGAUUUCCAAGUGCUCCAUGUAUGUCAAAAGUUUUUUUUUCCUUCCUGUCCGCUGGACCCACUGACGCCCGGCCUGCCACCCUGCCCCUCACACUGAGCUGAGGAAUCCAGCUCCUGGCUCCAGUUACGCCACACUCCCGAGAUGUUGCCGAGGAGAAAGUGGCACAGUAAUUUAUAGAAUCUGGCCACCGUGACGAGUUGAACUUCGGAAAGCCAGCAGAUCGACUGCUCCAGAAGACCUGCUUGUGUUAUUUGACUUGAAACAAAGAAAAGAAAAGCUGUCUAGAAUUCUCAGAAGUGUGCUGAUAGCUGCGGACUCCUCGAGCAGAUGUCAAAACACCCACCUGCGCCUCAAAUAACCACCUUUAAUCUGCAUUUGUGACGUCAGUCCCUACGUUCUGUCAUUUUCCCAGCAGAACACAGUUAUUUGAAGCAGAACUACAAUGGAUUUGCUUCAUGAAUGUUGUAUAUUUCCUUCAGGCGCUGUUUUUCAUGUAGUAUUUACUGGGGGAGGAGGUGUGGACUGAUCUAUGCUGGAUUUGUGAUGACACGGUUUCAUACAGUAGUUGUGCAAUGAUCAAACUCAUCAUACACUCAUGCCUGGAGGAAUGUGACCUUUGCAUGAACACCGUCCUCUAUUUAAAGCUACUAAUGCACACACACACUCACACAAUGGGAGUGUGCUAAUAAACACCUACACAAACGGACUUCUGCAAGCGGGUUUGUUCCCUUUGUUUGGCAGUAUUCGAUGAGGUUAGUCUGACUCACAUGUGCCUGUGCUAACAAGCUUCCUGAUGCCGCUGCUACUCUACAGAGGGAUGGAAAGAGGAAGCAUCUAAUUAGCACAUGGGAUCUGAAGCCGCAGAAUUUGAUUAUGCUUUCAGCCACUUAAAAUGGUGUCUCUCCACUCCAUAUUUGUCAACCUGGGCUCAUUAGAAAGAUGUGCCAGUGGUGGUGUUUCUUCAUGCACAUUUCACUACACUUACAAAGUGACAUGUUAGUUCAGUUGCAGAUUUUGUAUGUAUGCUUCAGUUCGGAAAUUACAUUUCACAAGAAUAUACAUGUUCGAAAAUAACACCACUUACACAAAAUCCUAAACUUAACCGACAGAAUUAACAAAAGCAAAUGGAAAAUGCCAUUUUAGUAUCCAAGUGACUCGUAUUUGAGAGUUUCACAUCGCAUGUGCGAUGCUGCACCAGGUGAGCUGCCGAGCAAGUUUAUGAUGUCAGAAAAGCCAUAGAUAUGGAGCUGGUUAUGAGAUGCAAACAUCAAAAUGUGAUUUUGUGUGAGCGAUUUUCUGUUUUUAUUAUAUAGUUCUGGUCAUAUUAACAGAGUAGUCAGCAGUAUCGGUAAUGUGCAUCACGCUGCUGUCACUUAAUACACAGAUGUAAUAUAAACAUGCAAUAUCUUGACUGUGUUUUUGUAACUUACGUGUGCUUUAACAUAAACUUGCAUGUAUUUGACAGUUUUAGCACAAUAAGACAUGAAAGAGAACUUAGUUAAGUACUCACAUGCCACUUUCUGAACACAUGCUUUGGAUGUGUGCACUCAGAAAACUGUAUAUCUGAAGUUUAAACUGAUAUGGCUUUAAAACAAUUUCAGCACAUGAUAAUCAAAACCAAACAUGUUUUUAACAGAGUAUCUGAGGAAGGAGCUGUUUUGACGCAGCUCUUUUCUGGAAAAGGCGUAUUUUUUUGAGCUGAAACUUCACAGACACAUUCUGGGGAUACCUGAGGUUUUUAUUACAGCUUGGUUAAAUGGGAAUAAUAGGUGACCUUUAAAAUUAAAAUAUUAAAAUUAAAAUAUUAGGGUUCACACCAACGUAUGAUAAUGUUUGUUUAUUGUAAGCAAAUGCUGCAGUUUUAUUGUCUGCCACUUUAAACACUUACGCUCUUUAAAGAAGGAUGAAUUCUGAUUAUCUGUCAUUGUUUUUAUCAGUUGAUAAACAGCUGGAAAAAUUAAUUUUGAAAGAGAUUGUAACUCUGUUCCAUUAUAGUUAUGGUGUGGACUUGUUAUGGUAUGGUUAUAGUUCUCUUUCUUGGUGGGAGCAGGCCU